rnacentral:tRNA from 1 species
GGGGCCGUGGUCUAGGGAUAGGCAGACCAAACCUGCUUAUCGGAGAACUUGGUAUGAUGCUGGGUUUGGGACCCAGUGGUCCCGGGUUCAAAUCCCGGCGGCCCCA